CCCCCCUGAGCUUGUCUCCUUCGCCACCCUUGCUGGGUGGGCGGUUGGGCGCAGGCUGCCAUGUCCCUGAUUCUUCCCCGGGCUGCACUCUCCAGAGAUACCAGGAGGAUGCCCUGCUGGGUUAACAGGUUGUGGCUUUCACUUCCUCCUCACUGGCAGGCACCUCAAGCAAUCAUUUCUCCUAAUAACUCUGUACACCUCCCCCUUAAGGAAAUCACUCACACCGAGGCUUAAGCAACUGACAAGCGUUCAUCCUUUAAUUUAAGGCCCGAGUGCCUCUAUUCAAUUGCAAGAGAUUGAAAUUGAACAUGUCCUGCUUAUAGAAAAGUUUUGUUUUGUUUUGUUUUGUUUUUAAUAAGUCAGUCAAGUUGUCAAUGUUUUCUAAUGACUUGCUUCUUUUUUUUUUUUUUCACAACGGAGUGCUGAAAAUUCCAGUUAACUUUAAGGUUCUAGGCAAUUGAAUAAAUCCAGUGUGUCAACAUUCUUUGCUUUCCUUGGGCGCAUUCUGCAAAACACAGUCUUACAUAACUGCUCUACAUUGUGAGGACUCAAACUUGUGUCUGGAACUUUAAUUAUA